rnacentral:rRNA from 1 species
UACGUAGGGGGCUAGCGUUGUCCGGAUUUAUUGGGCGUAAAGAGCGUGUAGGCGGCCAAGUAGGUCCGGUGUGAAAACUCGAGGCUUAACCUCGAGAUGUCAUCGGAAACCAUUUGGCUAGAGUCCGGAAGAGGAAAGUGGAAUUCCUGGUGUAGCGGUGAAAUGCGCAGAUAUCUGGAGGAACACCGGUGGCGAAGGCGGCAUCCUGGACCGACACUGACGCUGAGGAGCGAAAGCCAGGGGAGCAAACGGG